UUUAAUACUUUAUUGAUAUUUUUCCAAUUUAAACUACCAAUAGAUUGAAAUUUAUACUAGCGAAGAAUAAAAGUUAAUCUUGCAAUGAUUUGCGUAGUAAAAAUCUUUCGGUGCAUUCUUGUGAUUUGAAAACAAUAAUUUUGUGCUAACUUCAGUUGUUCCAGAUCGAGUUCCAGCAUCAUGAAAAUAAGAUUUACUUGUACGAUACCUUUAAAGAACGCGAAAAGCAUGAAGCCGCCGGAUAAUUGUAUCGCUAAAAAGAUGGCUAUCAACAACCUCAUGAAUCGAACGUCCUCAGGAAGCGGAAAAGAUGACAGAAUCACCGUAUGCCAUGGACUAUAAUUUUGCUAAGCUGACGAAAGAAGUUCAUGCGAUUUCCGAGAGGCCACCACUGAUAUUAUUAAAGGAACUUAUGGCGAUACCGGUUUGACCCCCAAUGGUUCGGUGGCAGAUAGUUUACCCCUGCAUGAUUUUUGGUGUAAGCUAGCCAGCUCCAAAUCAACAGUUAUUGUACAUCAUUUCUGCGUUCUCUGCAUUUGUUUCCUCAAAAUUAUUAGUUUAUUUACAAUGAUCUCUUAUAAUGUAACUAAAUCGGAAAAUAAAGUAUU